UAUUUUUUUUUUUUUAUAUCUAGGCUGUCAAUACCAUGUCGGUGAAUAAGUGUAAGUUAUUAGAUUGGCUUGAAACAGAAGAUAUUGUUGCUGAAGGACAUUUGAUAUCAGAUGAUCCAGAAGAUCUAGUUGAUAAAAUUCCUUUGGGACCAAAUGCAUUGAAAGUUUGCGUUGAUAAUUCAAAUAAACCUGAUGUUUUUCUAUGGAGACCUACAACUACUAUGACUUGUAUGAAACAAGCUCAAGGUGAACCGAUUGCCUGGCCUGUUGACCGCGUUAUUAUACAAACAGAGCAACAUUCUGAGAGGCAAGAAAACAUGUCCUCACAUUCGUUUGUGUAGAUGUUGCAAUAAUUCCUGAAGCAUUUCUCUGGCGUCCUACAGUGGAUUUGGUACGCGUUAAAGAUGCAGUUAAUUCAGCUAUAGCUUGGCCAGCUAGUAAUGUAAUUCUUGAAAAGUCGACAGAAACUCGAGAAGAAAAUCGAUCAUCUCCUACGAGUGUGAAUACUAAUAAUGUAAGGAAAAAGUGCAAGUUGUUGGAUAUUCGUGGAUCUGGCGAAGUAGUUGCAGAAGGACGAGUUAGUUCAAGUGAUCCAAACGAGUUAGUUCAUUUUGUUCCUUUAGGUCCUAAUGCUAUGCGAAUUUGGAUUGAUACUGUG